AGGGGACCGAGGCUAUGGGGGGAACCGGUUCGAGUCCAGGAGUGGGGGCUACGGAGGCUCCAGAGACUACUAUAGCAGCCGGAGUCAGAGUGGUGGCUACAGUGACCGGAGCUCGGGCGGGUCCUACAGAGACAGUUAUGACAGUUACGGUUGAAGGGGCCCGGCCAGGACUCGGGGAAGGGUGGCCUGAGAGCAGCGAUGACCUCUGGGGUCACUGUCCCAGGAGGGACUUCACCUGGAACGAGAGCUGGAGGCAGCCGCUUGCCCAGGAGGCUUGUCCCCUGUAAGUGCUUUCGGGAAGAGUGGCAUGUGGCGCUGAGCCCUGUCCCGGGCGACACCUGGGCGUUUCAGUGAGUCCUGCUCUCCCGCACCUAUGGCCCCGCGGCGGGCGCCUUUCGGUGUGUGUUGGGUGCAGGGCAGCGCCUCCCGGGAGCGCCGGGUCCCCCGCCUGGAGCCCGCGCCUGUUCUCCCUCCCUCCUCCUCCUUCCAGGAGGCGCUUCGCCAGUGAGGUGCGGGCUCAGGGCCUCGAGUCUCUCCUGGAGCACGGGCUGCGGUGCGCUGGCAGCUUACGGGGCGGCCAGUCCUUGCCCACAACGAUGUGGAGCCCUGUGAAAGUCGGAUUCGAAUAAAGGGCCACGUGUG
rnacentral:lncRNA from 1 species